GGAUGAAGAACGCAGCGAAAUGCGAUAAGUAAUGUGAAUUGCAGAAUUCAGUGAAUCAUCGAAUCUUUGAACGCACAUUGCGCCCGCCAGUAUUCUGGCGGGCAUGCCUGUUCGAGCGUCAUUUCAACCAUCAAGCCCCAGGCUUGUGUUGGGGACCUGCGGCUGCCGCAGGCCCUGAAAACCAGUGGCGGGCUCGCUGUCACACCGGGCGUAGUAGAUUUUAUCUCGCUCAGGGCGUGCUGCGGGUUCCGGCCGUUAAAAAGCCUUUUUUACCCAAGGUUGACCUCGGAUCAGGUAGGAAGACCCGCUGAACUUAAGCAUAUCAAUAAGCGGAGGA
rnacentral:misc_RNA from 1 species